CGCGGAGUGGAGCAGUUGGCAGCUCGUUGGGCUCAUAACCCGAAGGUCGUAGGUUCAAGUCCUGCCUCCGCAACCA
rnacentral:tRNA from 1 species